AAGCAAACCGGUUCUAUCGCUGCUCUAUACGUAGAGGAGAGGAAAGUCCGGGCAACGUAGAGCGACACGCUUCCUAACGGGAAGGCGCAUUUUUCGGAAUGCGAUAGAAAGUGCCACAGAAAAUAUACCGCCUUUGCAAAAAGGUAAGGGUGAAAACGUGAGGUAAGAGCUCACGGCUUUGUGUAGUGAUAUGCAUCGCGGUAAACCUCGUGUGUUGAAAAACCAAAUAGGUUGCAGGCUUCGGAAAGGGCGGCUCGCUUUUUGUCUUCGGACACCUGCAAUGGGUAGGUUGAUACAGUCUGUGUGCGAAUGCAGGCGUAGAUAAAUGAUAGAGGUCUGAUCUCGGUUGGACACAGAACCCGGCUUACAAGGUUUGCUUCUUU
rnacentral:RNase_P_RNA from 1 species